rnacentral:rRNA from 1 species
CAUGGCUGUCGUCAGCUCGUGUCGAGAGAAGUUGGGUUAAGUCCCGCAACGAGCGCAACCCUCAUUUUCAGUUGCCCCCGGGUCAUGCCGGGCACUCUGAAGAAACCGCCGGUGACAAGCCGGAGGAAGGCGGGGAUGACGUCAAGUCCUCAUGGCCCUUACGGGCUGGGCUACACACGUACUACAAUGGUGGUGACAGUGGGCUGCGAAGGCGCGAGCCGGAGCCAAUCCCCAAAAGCCAUCUCAGUUCGGAUUGCACUCUGCAACUCGAGUGCAUGAAGUUGGAAUCGCUAGUAAUCGCAGAUCAGCACGCUGCGGUGAAUACGUUCCCGGGCCUUGUACACACCGCCCGUAAGGGC